UAAUGCGACGACGGGUUUUUGCUUAGCGAAUCAUCGCGAAACCGUGAAUUGUUCAGUGAUCCUUUAUAGUUUCUCACGAGGUGGCUCGGAUAAUUAUGCGACUGCAAGGAAGAAAGACGCAAGUCACGUGUUUUUCACCUUCGAGGUGGAUAGAGUAUCAUCAUCAGAACGUGAUGAGCGGCGUGGAUGUAAUGAGGCUGCGGGAUCAACGCCAUAGAAAAGUUCGUGUAUCACUGGAACACGGGGUGGCGUGGAUCCACAGGGCGGGAGAGGGCCGACGGGGAGAGGUGAAGAGAACAGAUUGAGGUCGAGGUCACGGUGAAAUUUUUUCGAAUUGCGUCAAUCAUGAGGCCUAUAGACUACGCGCGGAUGGUUGCCGGGUAGUGAUUACAUCGUUUUCAGUCGGCUGUAAUAUAUUACUUAGCUUGUUAUUAGUAUUAUGCCACGGUGUUUCUUCGUUAUAGACAAAAGAUUAAGUGACUUGUCAAACAUGCUGGGAGCAGUGAGAUCAUCUUAUCAAGGCGGGUCCGGAGACUAAUUGCCUGCGAAACGUGCAAUUUUGUUAGUUUGAUGGCCGAUCGACAAGAUUCGAGCGAGUGGCUCUUCUUUCUGCUGUUAUAGGAUGCUUGUUCAAAAUGUAGGGCAAACGCGAAGACGUUGAUUAAGCGUUCGAUUUACUAACUUCUUAUCAAGUUUUUAGUCCUUGUUUUCAUCGCGAUCUAAUAGAAACAUUUUUACGUAAAGUGCAUUCCGGAGGACUUUGUUUAAUUGCGAGGAAGUCGUGGAUAAAUCUUGAGUGUCCUCUUCGAAUACGGGCGCAAUUGCAACUUGAUCUUUUCUGGAAAUUAGAGGAUCCUUUAAAGUGUUAAUUAUAAUCUACAAUCUACGUUAUAAGUCUUCAUGUAGAGUUCAUUGUAAGCCAUGUAGUCAGAUCAUGCGACCACACUAGAAUCAAAAAUAUAUAAAUAAUAAUAAAGAAGCAUCUGCAGUUUAAUAUAAUAGGCGAUGAAUAGAUUACGAAUUUUUGUGAAAAAUAAUUAAUUUAUUAAUUGCAAGAUAUGGCAGCUAUAUACACAUUCAUUUCACUUAUUAAUAAUUUGAAUGAAUUGAUAGAAAUAUAACAGUAAAUUCUUUAAAUA